GGGGAGCGGCAGACGGGUGAGUAACGCGUGGGAAUCUACCCAUCACUACGGAACAACUCCGGGAAACUGGAGCUAAUACCGUAUACGUCCUUCGGGAGAAAGAUUUAUCGGUGAUGGAUGAGCCCGCGUUGGAUUAGCUAGUUGGUGGGGUAAUGGCCUACCAAGGCGACGAUCCAUAGCUGGUCUGAGAGGAUGAUCAGCCACACUGGGACUGAGACACGGCCCAGACUCCUACGGGAGGCAGCAGUGAGGAAUAUUGGUCAAUGGACGAGAGUCUGAACCAGCCAAAUCGCGUGAAGGAAGACUGCCCUACGGGUUGUAAACUUCUUUUGUACAGGAAUAAAAGACAUUACGUGUAAUGUAUUGCAUGUACUGUACGAAUAAGCAUCGGCUAACUCCGUGCCAGCAGCCGCGGUAAUACGGAGGAUGCGAGCGUUAUCCGGAUUUAUUGGGUUUAAAGGGUCCGUAGGCGGGCCUGUAAGUCAGUGGUGAAAUCUCAUAGCUUAACUAUGAAACUGCCAUUGAUACUGCAGGCCUUGAGUAAAUUUGAAGUGGCUGGAAUAAGUAGUGUAGCGGUGAAAUGCAUAGAUAUUACUUAGAACACCGAUUGCGAAGGCAGGUCACUAAGAUUUAACUGACGCUGAUGGACGAAAGCGUGGGGAGCGAACAGGAUUAGAUACCCUGGUAGUCCACGCCGUAAACGAUGCUAACUCGUUUUUGGAUCUUCGGGUUCAGAGACCAAGCGAAAGUGAUAAGUUAGCCACCUGGGGAGUACGUCCGCAAGGAUGAAACUCAAAGGAAUUGACGGGGGCCCGCACAAGCGGUGGAUUAUGUGGUUUAAUUCGAUGAUACGCGAGGAACCUUACCAAGACUUAAAUGGGAAUUGACAGAUUUAGAAAUAGAUCCUCCUUCGGGCAAUUUUCAAGGUGCUGCAUGGUUGUCGUCAGCUCGUGCCGUGAGGUGUUAGGUUAAGUCCUGCAACGAGCGCAACCCCUGCCAACAGUUGCCAUCAUUCAGUUGGGGACUCUGUUGGGACUGCCUACGCAAGUAGAGAGGAAGGUGGGGAUGACGUCAAAUCAUCACGGCCCUUACGUCUUGGGCCACACACGUAAUACAAUGGCCGGUACAGAGGGCAGCUACCUGGUGACAGGAUGCGAAUCUCGAAAGCCGGUCUCAGUUCGGAUUGGAGUCUGCAACUCGACUCUAUGAAGCUGGAAUCGCUAGUAAUCGCGCAUCAGCCAUGGCGCGGUGAAUACGUUCCCGGGCCUUGUACACACCGCCCGUCAAGCCAUGGAAGUCUGGGGUACCUGAAGUCGGUGACCGUAAUAGGAGC
rnacentral:rRNA from 1 species